UACGAAGGGGGCUAGCGUUGCUCGGCAUUACUGGGCGUAAAGGGCGCGUAGGCGGACAGUUUAGUCAGAGGUGAAAGCCCAGGGCUCAACCUUGGAACUGCCUUUGAUACUGGCUGUCUUGAGUUCGGGAGAGGUGAGUGGAAUGCCGAGUGUAGAGGUGAAAUUCGUAGAUAUUCGGCGGAACACCAGUGGCGAAGGCGACUCACUGGCCCGAUACUGACGCUGAGGCGCGAAAGCGUGGGGAGCAAACAGG
rnacentral:rRNA from 1 species